GUAAUGUCAGCAGUUCACACCCGUCGAGUAAAGCACCCCCUCUUUGCUGCUUUCCGCACUGUAGAUGCAAUCAAUUACUCAGAAAUUGCCACCAUACCAGUAGAUCGUUGUGUCCUUAAUUUUGCAAUGGAGGCAACUGAUUCCUUUGUUGGGUUGAUUACAAUGGAUGACCAGGAAGAGAUGUAUUCUUCUGCUAGGAUCUAUGAGAUUGGUCGGCGAAGGCCAACUGAUGAUGACUCUGAUCCUGAUGAUGCUGAAACUGAGGAAGAUGAGGAUGAUGAUGAUGAAGAUGAUAGUGAUUUGGAUCCCAUUCUGGGUCCAGACCUGGAAGGGGAUGGCGAUAGUGAGGCUGAUGAUAUAAGCAAUGAGGAUGAUGAUGAUAGUGUGAGUGAACUUGAUGAGGAUGACGGGGACUUCAUAAUGGAUGAUGUAGAUUUUGAUGGGGGAGCUGGGAUACUGGAGAUUGUGGCCGAGAGUGAUGAGGAUGAUGAUGACAGUCAAGUGGUUGAAUCUUACAGCAGUGGUGAGGAGAAUGGCUUUGUGGCUAAUGUUUUUAACUAUUAAUUGUUCAUUUUCUAAAUCUUCGUAUUGGCACUAAUAGGAGUCCAAAUGAUGUAAUUAUUUUAUUUUUUCCCCUCUUAAUGCAAUUAUAAUUAAUUUAGCCU
rnacentral:misc_RNA from 1 species